rnacentral:tRNA from 1 species
GAGGUGCAUGGGGCUGGUGCCUUACAUGGUCUGCAAAACCAUGGUUACGGUGAAAUAAUUGAUAAGAGCCGUAGUGGGUUCGAUUCCCACUGCACCUC